GUAGAUUGAUGAGUGGGGAAAAAACAAUUUAAUCAAAUUUAGAAUAAGGCUGUAACAACAAAAUGUGGAAAGGUCUGAACACUUUCCUGAAUGAUCUGUAAAUGAAUGCUCUAAAAAAAACAUGAGUCAAGCUCAUUCCACGGAAGGCCGAGUAUCUGCGGGUUUUCACUCCUCCCUUGGACUUGAUUGAUUAAGGUCACUGAUUAGCAAGGAACUUCCCUCACCUGGUUGUCUAGGUCUUAAUUGAAAGGCAAAACCAAAAUCCGACAGAUACUAGGCCCUCCAUGGAAUGAGUUUGACGCCCCUGCUCUAAACUAAACCAUAUUCAAACUCCUCCCACUCCUCUCCUACCUGGAGGGGAGCCCUCCCCUCAUUGGUCACCACACACCUCCAUUAAAGCUUGUUAAGAACAAUAAAGUCCACCUGAAAGGGGUGGAGCUCCCCAUUUAAAUGCCCCCACAUGCAGUCAUUAGCCGUCUUUCAACCGAACUAGCAUGUAACUGCAGAGAUGCGUUAUUGGCUGCGAGGGAAGGGUAAUUGGCUGCGAGGGAUGGGUAAUUGGCUGCGAGGGAUGGGUUAUUGGCUGCGAGGGAUGGGUUAUUGGCUGCGAGGGAUGGGUUAUUGGCUGCGAGGGAUGGGUUAUUGGCUGCGAGGGAUGGGUUAUUGGCUGCGAGGGAUGGGUUAUUGGCUGCGAGGGAAGGGUUAUUGGCUGCGAGGGAAGGGUUAUUGGCUGCGAGGGAAGGGUAAUUGGCUGCGAGGGAUGGGUUAUUGGCUGCGAGGGAAGGGUUAUUGGCUGCGAGGGAUGGGGUUAUUGGCUGCGAAGGAAGGGUUAUUGGCUGCGAGGGAAGGGUUAUUGGCUGCGAGGGAAGGGUUAUUGGCUGCGAGGGAUGGGUUAUUGGCUGCGAGGGAAGGGUUAUUGGCUGCGAGGGAAGGGUUAUUGGCUGCGAGGGAAGGGUUAUUGGCUGCGAGGGAAGGGUUAUUGACUGCGAGGGAAGGGUUAUUGGCUGCGAGGGAAGGGUUAUUGGCUGCGAGGGAAGGGUUAUUGGCUGCGAGGGAUGGGGUUAUUGGCUGCGAGGGAUGGGGUUAUUGGCUGCGAGGGAUGGGGUUAUUGGCUGCGAGGGAUGGGGUUAUUGGCUGCGAGGGAUGGGUAAAUUGACUGCGAGGGAUGGGUUAUUGACUGCGAGGGAUGGGUAAAUUGACUGCGAGGGAUGGGUAAAUUGACUGCGAGGGAUGGGUAAAUUGACUGCGAGGGAUGAGUAAAUUGACUGCGAGGGAUGAGUAAAUUGACUGCGAGGGAUGGGUAAAUUGACUGCGAGGGAUGGGUAAAUUGGCUGCGAGGGAUGGGUAAAUUGACUGCGAGGGAUGGGUAAAUUGACUGCGAGGGAUGGGUAAAUUGACUGCGAGGGAUGGGUUAUUGGCUGCGAGGGAUGGGUAAAUUGACUGCGAGGGAUGGGUUAUUGACUGCGAGGGAUGGGUUAUUGACUGCGAGGGAUGGGUUAUUGACUGCGAGGGAUGGGUUAUUGGCUGCGAGGGAUGGGUUAUUGGCUGCGAGGGAUGGGUAAAUUGACUGCGAGGGAUGGGUUAUUGACUGCGAGGGAUGGGUUAUUGACUGCGAGGGAUGGGUAAAUUGACUGCGAGGGAUGGGUUAUUGACUGCGAGGGAUGGGUAAAUUGACUGCGAGGGAUGGGUUAUUGACUGCGAGGGAUGGGUUGAGAUGGCGGAAAGCGUGUUGAGUACAGUUAGUGAGAAUAAUGGGUAGACAACAGUGAACAAAAAGGGCAAAAAUUGUUGUGGAAAAUGAGUCUGAUAAAUUGUUGCUUGUUGGAGUAUGUUUUUUGAAUAAGGAUGUUCAUUUGGGAAACAAGGAUGGUGAAGAAGGCGUUGGGAUAAGUGGCUGUAGUCAUAGUAACCAGGAGUGGUAUGGUAUUGAUAUCGUGUCGUCAUAAUAACCAUGUAUUGAUAUUGUGUAGUCAUAGUAGCCAGGUAUUGAUAUCGUGUAGUCAUAGUAACCAGCAGUGGUAUGGUAUUGAUAUCGUGUAGUCAUAGUAACCAGCAGUGGUAUGGUAUUGAUAUCGUGUAGUCAUAGUAACCAGCAGUGGUAUGGUAUUGAUAUCGUGUAGUCAUAGUAACCAUGUAUUGAUAUUGUGUAGUCACAGUAACCAUGUAUUGAUAUCGUGUCGUUAUAGUAGCCAGGAGUGGUAUGGUAUUGAUAUCGUGUAGUCAUAGUAACCAGGUAUUGAUAUUGUGUAGUCAUAGUAACCAGGAGUGGUAUGGUGUUGAUAUCAUGUAGUCAUAGUAACCAGGUAUUGAUAUGGUGUUGCUAUCGUGUGUAUCUAAAGAGCAAUAGGAGUGUGCAUUGUGGCUCACAAAAUUAUUGACGCAUGAAGUGGACAGUUUUUUUGAUUUUCGAAACAGGGCACUGGUAAAAGGUUUUAUCUUUGGCGUCCCGUUGGACAUUGAUAAUAAAUAGCUUAGGCUAAACAUUCCAGCAGUAGUUAAAGCAAUGAGAAGUUUCUGUAUUAUUGAUGUUUGAUGAAAUGCAUCUACCAACCUAUGUAAAGCUGAGAUUUGUCUGGCUGGUGUGUUUACGGACAUAUUCAAUCUCUCCCUAUCCCAGUCUGCUGUCCCCACAUGCUUCAAGAUGGCCACCAUUUUUCCUGUACCCAAGAAGGCAAAGGUUACUGAACUUAAUGACUAUCCCCCAGUAGCGAUCUCCUGUUAUCAUGAAGUGCUUUGAGAGACUAGUCAAGGACCCUAUCACCUCUACCUUACCUGCCACUUCGAUUUGCUUACCGCCCCAAUAGAUCCACAGACGAUGCAAUCGCCAUCACUCUGCACACUGCCCUAGCCCUAUAUCUGGACAAGAGGAUUACCUAUGUAAGAAUGCUGUUCAUUGACUACAGCUCAGCAUUCAACACCAUAAUACCCUCCAAGCUCAUCAUUAAGCUUGAGGCCCUGGGUCUGAAACCCGCCCUGUGCAACUGGAUCGUGGACUUCCUGAUGGGCAGCCCCCAGGUGGCGAAGGUAGGAAACGUCACCUCCGCUGAUCCACAACACUGGGACCCCACAAGGGUGGGUGCUCAGCCCCCUCCUGUACUCCCUGUUCACCCAUGAAUGCGUGGCCAAGCACGCCUCCAACUCAAUCAUCAAGUUUGCAGACGACAACAGCAGUAGGCUUGAUUACUAACGAUGACAAGACAGCUUACAGGGAGGAGGUGAGGGCUCAGAGCCUCUUCAAACUCAGGAGGCUAAAGAAAUGUGGCUUGUCACCUAAAACCCUCACACAUUUUUACAGAUGCACAAUUGAAAGCAUCCUGUCGGGCUGUAUCACCACCUGGUACAGCAACUACACUGCCCGCAACAGCUAGGCUCUCCAGAGGGUGAUGCAUUACCGGGGGGCAAACUUCCGCCCUCCAGGACCCCUACAGCACCCGAUGUCACAGGAAGGCCAAAAAGAUCAUCAUGGACAUCAACAACCCAAGCCACUGCCUGUACAUCCCGCUAUCAUCCAGGCGAGGUCAGAACAGGUGCAUCAAAGCGGGGACUGAGAGACUGAAAAACAGUCUCUAUCUCAAGGCCAUCAGACUGUUAAACAGCCAUCACUAGGACAUUAGAGGCUGCUGCCUAUAGGCAUAGACUAGAAAUCACUGGCCAUUUUAAGAAAUGGAACACUAGUCACUUUAAUAAUGUUUACAUAUCUGGCAUUACUCAUCUCACAUGUAUAUACUGUUUUUCUAUACUAUUCUACAGUAUCUCAUUCACUUAAAAAUGCUUCCAUAUCUUGCAUUACUCAUCUCAUAUGUAUAUACUGUUUUUCUACACUAUUCUACUGUAUCUUAGACUGUUCUGCUCUGACAUCGCUCGUCCAUAUGUACAGUUGAAGUCAGAAGUUUACAUACACUUAGGUUGGAGUCAUUAAAACUCAAUUUUUCAACCACUUAACAAACUAUAGUUUUGGCAAGUAGGUUAGGACAUCUACUUUGUGCAUGACAAUUGUUUACAGACAGAUUAUUUCACUUAUAAUUCACUGUAUCACAAUUCUAGUGGGUCAGAAGUUUACAUAUACACUAAGUUGACUGUGCCUUUAAACUGCUUGGAAAAUUCCAGAAAAUGUCAUGGCUCUAGAAGCUUCUGAUAGGCUAAUUGACAUAAUUUGAGUCAAUUGGAGGUGUACCUGUGGAUGUAUUUCAAGGCCUACCUUCAAACCCAGUGCCUCUUUGCUUGACAUCAUAGGAAAAUCAAAAGAAAUGGUAGACCACCAUAAGUCUGGUUCAUCCUUGGGAGCAAUUUCCAAACGCCUGAAGGUACCACGUUCAUCUGUACAAACAAUAGUAUGCAAGUAUAAACACCAUGGGACCACGCAGCCGUCAUAUCGCUUAGAAAGGAGACGUGUUCUGUCCCCUAGAGAUGAACGUACUUUGGUGCAUAUCAAUCCCAGAACAACAGCAAAGGACCUUGUGAAGAUGCUGGAGGAAACGGGUGCAAAAGUAUCUAUAUCCACAGUAAAAUGAGUCCUAUAUCGACAUAACCUGAAAGGCCGCUCAGCAAAGAAGAAGCCACUGCUACAAAACCGCCAUAAAAAAGCCAGACUACGGUUUGCAACUGCACAUGGGGGCAAAGAUUGUACUUUUUGGAGAAAUGUCCUCUGGUCUGAUGAAACAAAAAUAGAACUGUUUGGCCAUAAUGACCCUCAUUAUGUUUGGAGGAAAAAGGGCGAGGCUUGCAAGCCGAAGUACACCAUCCCAACUAUGAAGCACGGAGGUGGCAGCAUCAUGUUGUGGGGGUGCUUUGCUGCACUUCACAAAAUCGAUGGCAUCAUGUGGAAGGAAAAGUAUGUGGAUAUAUUGAAGCAACAUCUCAAGACAUCAGUCAGGAAGUUAAAGCUUGGGUCUUCCAAAUGGACAAUUUUUUUUAACCUUUAUUUAACUAGGCAAGUCAGUUAAGAACAAAUUCUUAUUUUCAAUGAUGGCCUAGGAACAGUGGGUUAACUGCCUUGUUCAGGGGCAGAACAACAGAUGUUUUACCUUGUCAGCUCAGGGAUUCAAUCUUACAACCUUUUGGUUACUAGUCCAACGCUCUAACCAUUAGGCUACCUGCCGCCCAUACUUUCAGCGCUCUAACCACUAGGCUACCUGCCGCCCAUACGAGCGUACUUCCAAAGUUGUGGAAAAAUGGCUUAAGGACAACAAAGUCAAUGUAUUGGAGUGGCCAUCACAAAGCCUUGACCUCAAUCCCAUAGAACAUUUGUGGGCAGAACUGAAAAAGCACAUGCGAGCAAGGAGGCCUACAAACCUAACUCAGUUACACCAGCUCUGUCAGGAGAAAUGGGCCAAAAUUCACCCACUUAUUGUGGGAAGCUUGUGGAAGGCUACCUGAAACAUUUGAACACAGAGUUGGAAUGAAACAGUUGCACACAGUUCCCUUUGAAAGGAACAGUGAGCGGGUCAAGGAACUCCGCCACCAAUACGUCCACGUAUGAUGUCUAUCCAAUAUGUCUAGUUCUAUAUAGUGAGUUUUACACUAUGGGGUCAGGGAACUCUGGCACGAAUACAUCCAGGUAUGGUGUCUAUCCAAUAUGUCUAGUUCUAUAUAGUGAGUUUUACACUAUGGGGUCAGGGAACUCUGGCACCAAUACAUCCAGGUAUGGUGUCUAUCCAAUAUGUCUAGUUCUAUAUAGUGAGUUUUACACUAUGGGGUCAGGGAACUCUGGCACCAAUACAUCCAGGUAUGGUGUCUAUCCAAUAUGUCUAGUUCUAUAUAGUGAGUUUUACACUAUGGGGUCAGGGAACUCUGGCACCAAUACAUCCAGGUAUGGUGUCUAUCCAAUAUGUCUAGUUCUAUAUAGUGAGUUUUACACUAUGGGGUCAGGGAACUCUGGCACCAAUACAUCCAGGUAUGGUGUCUAUCCAAUAUGUCUAGUUCUAUAUAGUGAGUUUUACACUAUGCUACUCUACAUGUUAACAUGGGUUACAGUAGGACACUAUGCUACUCUACAUGUUAACAUGGGUUACAGUACAUACAGUAGGACACUAUGCUACUCUACAUGUUAACAUGGGUUACAGUACAUACAGUAGGACACUAUGCUACUCUACAUGUUAACAUGGGUUACAGUACAUACAGUAGGACACUAUGCUACUCUACAUGUUAACAUGGGUUACAGUAGGACACUAUGCUACUCUACAUGUUAACAUAGGUUACAGUACAUACAGUUGGAACACUAUGCUACUCUACAUGUUAACAUGGGUUACAGUAGGACACUAUGCUACUCUACAUGUAAACAUGGGUUACAGUACAUUCAGUAGGACACUAUGCUACUCUACAUGUUAACAUGGGUUACAGUACAUACAUUAGGACACUAUGCUACUCUACAUGUUAACAUGGGUUACAGUACAUACAGUAGGACACUAUGCUACUCUACAUGUUAACAUGGGUUACAGUAGGACACUAUGCUACUCUACAUGUAAACAUGGGUUACAGUAGGACACUAUGCUACUCAACAUGUUAACAUGGGUUACAGUACAUACAUUAGGACACUAUGCUACUCUACAUGUUAACAUGGGUUACAGUACAUACAGUAGGACACUAUGCUACUCUACAUGUUAACAUGGGUUACAGUACAUACAGUAGGACACUAUGCUACUCUACAUGUUAACAUGGGUUACAGUACAUACAGUAGGACACUAUUCUACUCUACAUGUAAACAUGGGUUACAGUACAUACAGUAGGACCCUAUGCUACUCUACAUGUUAACAUGGGUUACAGUAGGACACUAUGCUACUCUACAUGUUAACAUGGGUUACAGUAGGACACUAUGCUACUCUACAUGUUAACAUGGGUUACAGUAGGACACUAUGCUACUCUACAUGUUAACAUGGGUUACAGUAGGACACUAUGCUACUCUACAUGUUAACAUGGGUUACAGUAGGACACUAUGCUACUCUACAUGUUAACAUGGGUUACAGUAGAACACUAUGCUACUCUACAUGUUAACAUGGGUUACAGUAGGACACUAUGCUACUCUACAUGUUAACAUGGGUUACAGUAGGACACUAUGCUACUCUACAUGUUAACAUGGGUUACAGUAGGACACUAUGCUACUCUACAUGUUAACAUGGGUUACUGUAGGACACUAUGCUACUCUACAUGUUAACAUGGGUUACUGUAGGACACUAUGCUACUCUACAUGUUAACAUGGGUUACAGUAGGACACUAUGCUACUCUACAUGUUAACAUGGGUUACAGUAGGACACUAUGCUACUCUACAUGUUAACAUGGGUUACAGUAGGACACUAUGCUACUCUACAUGUUAACAUGGGUUACAGUAGGACACUAUGCUACUCUACAUGUUAACAUGGGUUACAGUAGGACACUAUGCUACUCUACAUGUUAACAUGGGUUACAGUACAUACGGUAGGACACUAUGCUACUCUACAUGUUAACAUGGGUUACAGUACAUACGGUAGGACACUAUGCUACUCUACAUGUUAACAUGGGUUACAGUAGGACACUAUGCUACUCUACAUGUUAACAUGGGUUACAGUAGGACACUAUGCUACUCUACAUGUUAACAUGGGUUACAGUAGGACACUAUGCUACUCUACAUGUUAACAUGGGUUACAGUAGGACACUAUGCUACUCUACAUGUUAACAUGGGUUACAGUACAUACAGUAGGACACUAUGCUACUCUACAUGUUAACAUGGGUUACAGUAGGACACUAUGCUACUCUACAUGUUAACAUGGGUUACAGUAGGACACUAUGCUACUCUACAUGUUAACAUGGGUUACAGUAGGACACUAUGCUACUCUACAUGUUAACAUGCGUUACAGUAGGACACUAUGCUACUCUACAUGUUAACAUGGGUUACAGUACAUACAGUAGGACACUAUGCUACUCUACAUGUUAACAUGGGUUACAGUACAUACAGUAGGACACUAUGCUACUCUACAUGUUAACAUGGGUUACAGUACAUACAGUAGGACACUAUGCUACUCUACAUGUUAACAUGGGUUACAGUACAUACAGUAGGACACUAUGCUACUCUACAUGUAAACAUGGGUUACAGUACAUACAGUAGGACACUAUGCUACUCUACAUGUUAACAUGGGUUACAGUACAUACAGUAGGACACUAUGCUACUCUACAUGUUAACAUGGGUUACAGUACAUACAGUAGGACACUAUGCUACUCUACAUGUAAACAUGGGUUAUAGUAGGACACUAUGCUACUCUACAUGUUAACAUGGGUUACAGUACAUACAGUAGGACACUAUGCUACUCUACAUGUUAACAUGGGUUACAGUACAUACAGUUGGACUUUCUCUUUCAGGGAGUCAUGGAGUUGGAGGUUAGUCAGACCCCACAUGAAAUCCUUUAUGUAGACGAGGCAGGGUUUAACCUGCCAAAAACACGUAGGCGGGAAAACGGUCAGCGUUG
rnacentral:lncRNA from 1 species